GGGGAGGGAGAUGUCGAGGGGGGUCCACGAGGCCUCAACUUACAAGACCCAACUCUCUGCUGCCAAUACUCGGGUGCAAGAGCUUGAGCAAUAGGUGCGGUCUUCUGAGGGGCUCGUGGCUCAUGUACGGAAGGAGUAGGAGGACACCCAGGUGAGCCGAGCUAUUGACUUGGCUAAGUUCUCCGAGGAGCUGAAAGCGAAGGAGAAUGAAGCCCUCAAGAAAGAAGCCGG
rnacentral:misc_RNA from 1 species